rnacentral:rRNA from 1 species
UACGUAGGGGGCAAGCGUUGUCCGGAAUUAUUGGGCGUAAAGAGCGUGUAGGCGGUCCGGUAAGUCGGCUGUGAAAGUCCAGGGCUCAACCCUGGGAUGCCGGUCGAUACUGCCGGACUAGAGUUCGGAAGAGGCGAGUGGAAUUCCCGGUGUAGCGGUGAAAUGCGCAGAUAUCAGGAAGAACACCCGUGGCUAAGGCGGUUCUCUAGUACGGUACUGACGCUGAGACGCGAAAGCGUGGGGAGCGAACAGG